rnacentral:lncRNA from 1 species
UUUAUAUCAUGAUUACUGAUGGGUAUGCGUGCUUAACAUGGAGAGCUUGAGCUGUAAAACUCAGUCAAAAAGGGAGAGAUUGAAAGUGCAGAUAUUGUUGGAACAGGUGUGAAGCUGUUGGAACAGGUGUGAAGCUGUUGGAACGAAAGAUCAUAACGAGAUUUAGUCUUUCAUAAUGUUAUGUUACGGCCACGUUGGUCGUGGGCCAUUGUUCAAGUUAAGCCCAAUCUCUUGUAGAGACUUGAAGCGUGGCUUAAGUUGUCUAGGGUUUUUGGCACUUGAUAUAAAUACCAAGAGACGGCAACAUGAAGACUCGCGCGUCUAGGGUUUAUCGAGAGAGGCACACAUGUGUGUGUGACGUCGCCCCAUCAACAAGAUAGAGAGAUCUUUUGAUGGUUUUGUUGAGAAGCUAUACUCGUCGGAAAAGACAAUAGGAGUAGUAGUUUUCUUUCAUUGUAAUUCUAGAAAAGAGUGGUGGAUACCAUAUAGCAAUUGUAGGUUGCGGCCUUUUCU